rnacentral:rRNA from 1 species
GACGAACGCUGGCGGCGUGCUUAACACAUGCAAGUCGAACGGAAAGGCCCUGCUUUUGUGGGGUGCUCGAGUGGCGAACGGGUGAGUAACACGUGAGUAACCUGCCCUUGACUUUGGGAUAACUUCAGGAAACUGGGGCUAAUACCGGAUAGGAGCUCCUGCUGCAUGGUGGGGGUUGGAAAGUUUCGGCGGUUGGGGAUGGACUCGCGGCUUAUCAGCUUGUUGGUGGGGUAGUGGCUUACCAAGGCUUUGACGGGUAGCCGGGCUGAGAGGGUGACCGGCAACAUGGGGACUGAGAUACGGCCCAGACUCCUACGGGAGGCAGCAGUGGGGAAUAUUGCACAAUGGGCGGAAGCCUGAUGCAGCAACGCCGCGUGCGGGAUGACGGCCUUCGGGUUGUAAACCGCUUUCGCCUGUGACGAAGCGUGAGUGACGGUAAUGGGUAAAGAAGCACCGGCUAACUACGUG